GGGUGAUUAGCUCAGUUGGUUAGAGCGCUGCCUUCACACGGCAGAGGUCACAAGUUCGAGUCUUGUAUCACCCACCA
rnacentral:tRNA from 1 species